CCUACGGGGGGCAGCAGUGGGGAAUAUUGCACAAUGGGGGAAACCCUGAUCCAGCGACGCCGCGUGAGUGAAGAAGUAAUUCGUUAUGUAAAGCUCUAUCAGCAGGGAAGAAAGAGAUGGUACCUGAGUAAGAAGCCCCGGCGAACUACGUGCCAGCAGCCGCGGUAAUACGUAGGGGGCGAGCGUCAUCCGGAUUUACUGGGUGGAAAGGGAGCGGAGACGGCAGUGCAAGUCUGGAGUGAAAGGCGGGGGCUCAACCCCCGGACUGCUCUGGAAACUGUACGGCUGGAGUGCAGGAGAGGUAAGUGGAAUUCCUAGUGUAGCGGUGAAAUGCGUAGAUAUUAGGAGGAACACCAGUGGCGAAGGCGGCUUACUGGACUGUAACUGACGUUGAGGCUCGAAAGCGUGGGGAGCAAACAGGAUUAGAUACCCUGGUAGUC
rnacentral:rRNA from 1 species